rnacentral:lncRNA from 1 species
UCCACAGUGUCCCUCUCCCUUUCCCACUUUUGCUCGCACGCACUAGCACUCUAGCCGGCGACCAGCGCUGCCAGAUCUGCCACCUCCGCCUGAAGAAGAAGGGAAACCACGGGGCAUGCCGUGAUAAUCGCGGCGGAGGUGGCGGGAACCAUCUCGGAGCGAGGGCGCAUGAAACCGCAGCAAGUUCCGGGAUAAUCGUCGAGGUAAGCCCGUUUACCGUAGGGAUUUUGGCGAUUAUCGUGAUUUGGCUUUGGGCCUUCUCGUGCCGCGAUUUUGUGAGAUUAUCGUCCUAAACCGCGGUCUACAAGUCUCUACGAUAAUCAUGCGAAACGGUGCGAUAAUCGCGCCUUACCACGCGAAAUGGUAGCUGAAACCGUCACGAUUUUGUUUGAAUUUUUAAAUUUGAUUUCGUGCUGUUUUUGAUCGAUUAUCUUGAUAAUUGUCGAUUAUCAUGGCUCUCCACAGGAGCGGUUGGAGUGCCUCCACGAUAAAUACGACCCUGGUUGCUGCUCGGCCCUUCCCACUCCUCGAGGACAGAAUUCCGUCGUUCUCAAACAUAAGUGAUUUCCAUAAUUAAAUUUCAUUUCUCAUCAAUUAUAUAUCAUUCAAAUUUAUGUUUAUUUUAUCCCAACCACCGUUCACUCUCUAUGGUAAAGAGAGACAUUAUAGUUCUUUUAUUAUAUUCUUAAUUUAUUCAAAAUAACUAUAAUACAAUAUAUUUGAAUAAGGAGCUACGAAUGUGUUAAAAGCAAUGAUGGGUAGCGCCCUAGCGGGGACUCGUUCCGCUGCGGCAUGCAUGCUUUCCUUCGACUGUGGGACCGUGAAGGCCUUUGUCUGCUGUACACUGCAUGCACUGCACCCUGUACUACUCCCUCCAGUGCAUAUAUCUAUUGCACAAUAUAAGAAAAAUUGACCUAAAUUCUGUUGGAAAUUUGGUCUUUUUUAAUAUUUAAUCCAGA